rnacentral:rRNA from 1 species
CUUUUAUCGGGAGGGAAAUACUAUCGGUUAAUAACCGGUGGGGCUGACGGUACCCGAGGAAUAAGCACCGGCUAACUUCGUGCCAGCAGCCGCGGUAAUACGAAGGGUGCAAGCGUUAAUCGGAAUUACUGGGCGUAAAGGGUGCGUAGGCGGUUUGUUAAGUCUGUCGUGAAAUCCCCGGGCUCAACCUGGGAAUGGCGAUGGAUACUGGCAAGCUAGAGUGUGUCAGAGGAUGGUGGAAUUUCCGGUGUAGCGGUGAAAUGCGUAGAGAUCGGAAGGAACAUCAGUGGCGAAGGCGGCCAUCUGGGACAACACUGACGCUGAAGCACGAAAGCGUGGGGAGCAAACAGGAUUAGAUACCCUGGUAGUCCACGCCCUAAACGAUGCGAACUGGAUGUUGGUCUCAACUCGGAGAUCAGUGUCGAAGCUAACGCGUUAAGUUCGCCGCCUGGGGAGUACGGUCGCAAGACUGAAACUCAAAGGAAUUGACGGGGGCCCGCACAAGCGGUGGAGUAUGUGGUUUAAUUCGAUGCAACGCGAAGAACCUUACCUGGCCUUGACAUGUCUGGAAUCCUGCAGAGAUGCGGGAGUGCCUUCGGGAAUCAGAACACAGGUGCUGCAUGGCUGUCGUCAGCUCGUGUCGUGAGAUGUUGGGUUAAGUCCCGCAACGAGCGCAACCCUUGUCCUUAGUUGCCAGCACGUAAUGGUGGGAACUCUAAGGAGACUGCCGGUGACAAACCGGAGGAAGGUGGGGAUGACGUCAAGUCCUCAUGGCCCUUACGGCCAGGGCUACACACGUACUACAAUGGUCGGUACAGAGGGUUGCAAUACCGCGAGGUGGAGCCAAUCCCAGAAAGCCGAUCCCAGUCCGGAUCGGAGUCUGCAACUCGACUCCGUGAAGUCGGAAUCGCUAGUAAUCGCGGAUCAGCUAUGCCGCGGUGAAUACGUUCCCGGGCCUUGUACACACCGCCCGUCACACCAUGGGAGUGAGUUGCUCCAGAAGCCGUUAGUCUAACCGCAAGG